rnacentral:rRNA from 1 species
GGUGAGUAACACGUGGGUAACCUGCCCAUCAGAAGGGGAUAACACUUGGAAACAGGUGCUAAUACCGUAUAACAAUCGAAACCGCAUGGUUUCGAUUUGAAAGGCGCUUUCGGGUGUCGCUGAUGGAUGGACCCGCGGUGCAUUAGCUAGUUGGUGAGGUAACGGCUCACCAAGGCGACGAUGCAUAGCCGACCUGAGAGGGUGAUCGGCCACAUUGGGACUGAGACACGGCCCAAACUCCUACGGGAGGCAGCAGUAGGGAAUCUUCGGCAAUGGACGAAAGUCUGACCGAGCAACGCCGCGUGAGUGAAGAAGGUUUUCGGAUCGUAAAACUCUGUUGUUAGAGAAGAACAAGGAUGAGAGUAACUGUUCAUCCCUUGACGGUAUCUAACCAGAAAGCCACGGCUAACUACGUGCCAGCAGCCGCGGUAAUACGUAGGUGGCAAGCGUUGUCCGGAUUUAUUGGGCGUAAAGCGAGCGCAGGCGGUUUCUUAAGUCUGAUGUGAAAGCCCCCGGCUCAACCGGGGAGGGUCAUUGGAAACUGGGAGACUUGAGUGCAGAAGAGGAGAGUGGAAUUCCAUGUGUAGCGGUGAAAUGCGUAGAUAUAUGGAGGAACACCAGUGGCGAAGGCGGCUCUCUGGUCUGUAACUGACGCUGAGGCUCGAAAGCGUGGGGAGCAAACAGGAUUAGAUACCCUGGUAGUCCACGCCGUAAACGAUGAGUGCUAAGUGUUGGAGGGUUUCCGCCCUUCAGUGCUGCAGCUAACGCAUUAAGCACUCCGCCUGGGGAGUACGACCGCAAGGUUGAAACUCAAAGGAAUUGACGGGGGCCCGCACAAGCGGUGGAGCAUGUGGUUUAAUUCGAAGCAACGCGAAGAACCUUACCAGGUCUUGACAUCCUUUGACCACUCUAGAGAUAGAGCUUCCCCUUCGGGGGCAAAGUGACAGGUGGUGCAUGGUUGUCGUCAGCUCGUGUCGUGAGAUGUUGGGUUAAGUCCCGCAACGAGCGCAACCCUUAUUGUUAGUUGCCAUCAUUUAGUUGGGCACUCUAGCGAGACUGCCGGUGACAAACCGGAGGAAGGUGGGGAUGACGUCAAAUCAUCAUGCCCCUUAUGACCUGGGCUACACACGUGCUACAAUGGGAAGUACAACGAGUCGCAAAGUCGCGAGGCUAAGCUAAUCUCUUAAAGCUUCUCUCAGUUCGGAUUGUAGGCUGCAACUCGCCUACAUGAAGCCGGAAUCGCUAGUAAUCGCGGAUCAGCACGCCGCGGUGAAUACGUUCCCGGGCCUUGUACACA